rnacentral:rRNA from 1 species
GAUGUAUCUUUACACACACAUCCGCCCGGGUACUACGAGCACAGCUUAAAACCCAAAGGACUUGGCGGUGCCUCAGACCCACCUAGAGGAGCCUGUUCUAGAACCGAUAAACCCCGUUAAACCUCACCACUUCUUGUUUUUCCCGCCUAUAUACCGCCGUCGUCAGCUUACCCCGUGAAGGCCUAACAGUAAGCAAAAUUGGUACACCCAAAAACGCCAGGUCGAGGUGUAGCGAAUGAAGUGGGAAGAAAUGGGCUACAUUUUCUACAAACAGAAUACUACGGACGGCACCCUGAAAACAUGCCUGAAGGUGGAUUUAGUAGUAAAAAGCAAAUAGUGUGUCC